CAUUCAUCAAUUUGUUGCUAAACGCCAAUUUUCAAAAAGAAGGCAAUCAUGAUUGUGGCAAUGCAUCUAUUUUUCUUAUCUGUUCAGUGGGCUUAUGGAUUGAUGUCCGCUAAAGAUAAAGAAACCAAGACCGAUGUUAAACCAAAACCUGUAAAAUAUCUUAUUCCUCCUGUUGCAUAAAGAAGUCUUCAUGAAUUACCACCCGAUCUGCAAAUAGUGAUCUCAGCACGAAAUAUCACUGAACAACGAUUAAUGAUAGCCUCGAAAGGAAUAACAAAUCAGAUUGUAACAGCAAUUGCAAAUAGUGCUCAGCAAGAAUACUAGUAACCACUCGCAUUGUACCAGUAUCUACGUAUUGUGCUCUCAGGAGAAAUAGCCCUCAGAUUGUAUCAGCUACUGCGAUAGUGUAAUUGCUCACGUCGAAUCAGCUACUGCUAAAAUGGUAUCAGUGCGAAUGACAAUUCACAUUGGAUCAGCUAAACUGUUCAAGUGUUGUCAGUACGAAUGACCACUCACACUUAACUAC